UACGGGGGGGGCAAGCGUUGUUCGGAAUUAUUGGGCGUAAAGCGUGCGCAGGCGGUUUUGUAAGUCUGUCGUGAAAGCCCCGGGCUUAACCUGGGAAUUGCGAUGGAGACUGCAAGGCUUGAAUCUGGCAGAGGGGGGUAGAAUUCCACGUGUAGCAGUGAAAUGCGCAGAGAUGUGGAGGAACACCGAUGGCGAAGGCAGCCCCCUGGGUCAAGAUUGACGCUCAUGCACGAAAGCGUGGGGAGCAAACAGG
rnacentral:rRNA from 1 species